GGGGCACAUUACCCCUAUCCCAAAUCAAUGUGGGAUCUUAAGAAAAAUUCUAUGAAGAAAUCGAGCAACUAAACUGAUUUGGCAUCUAAAAACAAUCCAAUUACUGCAGCUUGAAUGGUGCACACCUAAGAGUCCCAUAAUUAAGAUGGGAAUUGCAAUAUCAAAUUAUCAACAAGAUCAUAUCCCAUGAAAGCAGCAAAUUGACAGCUUUUUCAUGUAAAUUGAUACCUACAAAGCAUUCAAAUUACCAUGCAACAUCUAUUAACGUUUGGUCAAGUUGUGCCAGGUUCACAUGCCUUACCUAGUGAGUUGAUGUAAUUUUGCUGAGAACCCACUAACCAUACUUAACCAAACAAAUUUUUGGACUUCCCAAACAGCACAAUAAUUGUGAUAACAGAAUCAUAUACAAUUACGCUUGAAAUAAUCCAACAAUACGUAAAAGAUGCACUUGAAUUAUGCAUAUCAUUGAAAAGAAAGUAUGAGCUCGUGUCCAUAUUUAAGUAAUAAAAAUCACAUGCUUAUUUCAAAUAAAAUAAACCCUGCCCUGAUUACACAUCAAAUAUCAUUUCCAAUAAACUACCAGGAAAGUUCUGACAUGCACAUUUUGGCAUCAACAUUGACAUGUCAGCAACAUAUUUAUACCAGAAAGAACAAAUAAAAAGUUUAAGUUAUAUUGGUAUGAAUAAAUAUCUUGACAGACCUCUAGAGAUUAGAAGUUGAAUAACCAAUCAUUAUCAUGUAAUCCUGCUCCCAAAAAUUAUGAGAAUAGACUUCAUAAUGUUUCUUAAAAUCUAAUGCACAGAAUAAAGACAUUAUCAGAGGAAUGAAAAGGUUUUCAGAUGAAUAGAAUACCAAUUCUAGGAUAAAAAACAGAGAUUGUUGCUCUUUCAGAGAGGGGCAUAGGAAAAAAGAAAGAGAAGGGCCCUGCCGCACCCCGUGGGGUUUUGUUGGGCGGGGGGCGGGGGGAGGUGGUGGUGGUGGUUUGGUGUUUAACUUUACAGCCCAGGGAUUUCUUUUAAUUAACCACUUGAAGAUGCGUAAAACUAAGGCAGGGCAGCAAAACCCUUCACCUUCAACUUUACAACCCUGGGAAAUUUAGAACAUGCAAAACGAACAUGGAUUUUACAGGCAAUUGUAUGGAUAUUUGCAAGAUUUUCUAGCUCACUUUUUCUCACAUAACUUCUAAAUGAAAAAAGGAAAGCGUCCCAUGAGAUUUUCCUGCAUUUAAUUCCAGACAUCAAUGUUUACAUACUCAAAAUAAUGAAAAGCAAAGGCAAAAGCAGAACCAUGAGAGACUGAAGAGACAGCUACAACCUCAAAUAUGAAGAUAUCACCAAUCUUGCAUGAGCUGCAAAGUUGAUAUGGAUAGGUAGACUCAACAUCCAAUUCUCAAAACUCAA
rnacentral:misc_RNA from 1 species